rnacentral:rRNA from 1 species
GACGAACGCUGGCGGCGUGCUUAACACAUGCAAGUCGAACGCUGAAGCUCAGCUUUUGUUGGGUGGAUGAGUGGCGAACGGGUGAGUAACACGUGAGUAACCUGCCCCCUUCUUUGGGAUAACGCCCGGAAACGGGUGCUAAUACUGGAUAUUCACUGGUCUUCGCAUGGGGGUUGGUGGAAAGGGUUUUUCUGGUGGGGGAUGGGCUCGCGGCCUAUCAGCUUGUUGGUGGGGUGAUGGCCUACCAAGGCUUUGACGGGUAGCCGGCCUGAGAGGGUGACCGGUCACAUUGGGACUGAGAUACGGCCCAGACCCCUACGGGAGGCAGCAGUGGGGAAUAUUGCACAAUGGGCGCAAGCCUGAUGCAGCGACGCCGCGUGAGGGAUGGAGGCCUUCGGGUUGUGAACCUCUUUCGCUCAUGGUCAAGCCGCAACAAUGGUUGUGGUGAGGGUAGUGGGUAAAGAAGCGCCGGCUAACUACGUG